UAGUAGAAUAAGCUAAUUUAAGCUUUUGGGCCCAUGCCCCAAAUAUGUUGGUUAAAAUCCUUCUUUUACUAA
rnacentral:tRNA from 1 species